rnacentral:lncRNA from 1 species
CAAAUUAGUUAGUUUAAUAGAUGCAGUGAGUGAAGAGAGAGAAAGAAACAAUCAGCCAAUACAAACAUAGUAAAGUUUAUAGUGGUUCGAAGCCAACUCUUGCUCCUACGUCCACUCCCUAAGCCGCACUUGGAAGUUCACUAUAAUUUCUAGGAUUACAGCCAGUUGUUUUACAAGCUUACAACCCAACUUGUUGUUUUAACAAGUUUACAACGAACUCGGUCGGUUUUCACAGGCUCACCGACUAGAACCACCCGAUUAUUUUUUCGGAUUCACAAUCAAACCCAGUUGGUUUUUUCCGGUUCACCAACCACAACCUUACACU